CCCACCGCAUACCUUUCUCCCUCCGACCCACCACACCACCACAAGCCCUCAGAAAUCGAAUCCCAGUUGCUCCUCUCUGGCGAUCCCAAUUGGACACCACUAACACCACCGACCAGCCUGACGAGUCACCACUAGAACCACCAUCGUUCAAGACUCUUAGGGUUCGAAUCGAUGGUAUGUAGUUCUUCACCCCAAAAUAAUCUUCGGCAGCUUUGGCCCCUCACUUGAAGCCAAUUUCUACCAAAAUCUUAUGAACUCGAGUUUUCGAACGCAGAAUUCAAGCUAUGAAUUUGCCACUUUUGGCUUGCAAAAAUCGGUACCAAGCCACAAUUACUUCUGAAUGCAUCACACAGGUUUACCUUGGGAAAAGCUGUAAGUAGAUUGAAAUAGUUGUUGUGAAUUGGAUUACUUAUUCGACAUGAGGUUUUCAAAAUUAAGUCUUUCA